UUUUUAUGGAGAGUUUGAUCCUGGCUCAGGAUGAACGCUGGCGGCGUGCCUAAUACAUGCAAGUCGAGCGAACAGACGAGGAGCUUGCUCCUCUGACGUUAGCGGCGGACGGGUGAGUAACACGUGGAUAACCUACCUAUAAGACUGGGAUAACUUCGGGAAACCGGAGCUAAUACCGGAUAAUAUAUUGAACCGCAUGGUUCAAUAGUGAAAGACGGUUUUGCUGUCACUUAUAGAUGGAUCCGCGCCGCAUUAGCUAGUUGGUAAGGUAACGGCUUACCAAGGCAACGAUGCGUAGCCGACCUGAGAGGGUGAUCGGCCACACUGGAACUGAGACACGGUCCAGACU
rnacentral:rRNA from 1 species